rnacentral:lncRNA from 1 species
UUUAGAUUGCUUCGGCUAACAACCGCUCGAUCUCAAAUCGAGUAAAACAGGCUGUAUAUCGCUAAGCCGGAACUUCGAUAAAUCAUAACUUCCUCAUACGAAGUCAGAUUUGGGCGUUCUAUAUAUAUUCGGAAACCUCGUUUCAACUACUACAACAUUAACCAAAUAUAUUAAGUUUAUUUUACACUUAAAUUUUGACGCUUAUUUUUAUUCUUAAUUAAUCAAACCACAUAAUUAAGCAAUUAAGCACAAAACACAUAAUACUCAAAUAAUACAAUCUUAUUAUUUCAAAACGGGUUACAGAGGUUAACCUAGACUAUUACAUUGCUACAAAUGGCAAGCCCGAAACACAGGCGUUACAAUUCUCUCCACCUUAGAAUGAUUCCGUCCCCGGAAUCACACAUCAACAAACAAAUGCGGAUAGCGACUCAACAUGUCACUCUCCGUCUCCCAGGUGAGAUUCGGCCCAUUCGUGUGUUUCCAUCGGACAAGCACUAACCCAACCAUUUUGCGUCGCAACUUCUUAGUCUUUCGGUCAACAAUUGCCUCUGGUUCUUCAAUCAACCUUUUGUUCUCAUCAAUUCUCAAUUCAGAAAUUGGAAUUAUAUCGGGAACUUCUCCCGUGAACUUCCUCAAAUAACACACAUGAAAGGUGUUGUGAAUUCCAUUCAGUUCUUCGGGUAAUUCGAGCUUGUAAGCUUGAUUCCCAAUCCUCUGAAGGACUCUAAACGGUCCAAUAAACCUUGGACUCAACUUUCCCCUUUUACCAAAUCUUAUAAGUCCCUUCCACGGCGAGACUUUAAGCAAAACCGAAUCUCCAACCUCAAAAGUCAUCGGUCUUCGCUUCUUGUCAGCAUAGCUCUUUUGACGAUCUUGAGCUGCUAACAUUCUUUCCCUAAUUAUUUUCAACUUUUCAGCAGUUUGAUGAACCAUCUCCGGUCCCAUAAACUGCUUUUCCCCAGCCUCAAGCCAACAAGACGGCGUACGACACUUCUGUCCAUACAAAGCUUGAUAAGGUGCCAUCUUAAUGCUCGAGUGAAAACUAUUAUUAUAGGAAAAUUCUACCAACGGUAAAUGUUCAUCCCAAUUACCUAGGAAUUCCAAGGUACAUGCUCUCAGCAUAUCUUCAAGUGUUUGUAUUGUUCUUUCACUCUGACCAUCAGUCUGCGGAUGGUAAGCUGUGCUUAAACAUAACUUGGUACCCAUUUCCUCUUGUAGACUUUUCCAAAACCUUGAGGUGAAACGGCUAUCACGAUCCGAUACAAUCGUUAACGGAACACCGUGAAGCCUCACAAUUUCCUUCACGUAAGAAUUCGCAAGCUUUUCCAUAGACCAUUUCUCCCUGGCCGCUAUGAAAUGCGCACUCUUAGUGAAUCGAUCAACGACCACCCAAAUCAUGUCGUGACCAUUCUUUGUUCUGGGCAGUUUAGUGACAAAAUCCAUAGCAAUGUCUUCCCACUUACCCAUAGGCACAGGCAAAGGUUCUAAACUCCCGUACGGUUUCUGAUGUUGUGUCUUGACUCUCGCACAAGUCACACACUCGGCCACAUACUUUGCAACAUCAAGCUUCAUCGUCGGCCACCAGUAGUAGGGUUUCAGGUCCCUAUACAUUUUAGUGCUACCCGGAUGAAUCGAGUACAUGGUCUUGUGAGCUUCUUCCAUCAGAAGAUCCCUAAUUCCUCCUGACUUAGGUACCCAAAUACGAUCUUGGAAUACCUUCAGUCCAUGACCGUUAGUACCAAACACCAACGUUUUACCCAAACGUUCCUCCUUUCGGUCAUUUUUCUCAGAAGCUUCCUCUUGAGCUUUCUUUAUACUUUCCACAAUGGUCGAGACAACUUCAAUUCUCAACGCUCUUGGCCUCUUCCUUUCAAGAUUGACCUUCCGACUGAGAGCAUCAGCAACAACAUUAGCUUUACCGGGGUGGUAAAGUAUCUCGCAGUCGUAGUCUUUAAGUAAUUCUAGCCAGCGUCGUUGCCUCAUAUUCAAUUCUUUCUGAUUAAAGAGGUAUUGGAGACUCUUAUGAUCAGUGAAAAGUUUGCACUUCGUGCCAUAGAGGUAAUGCCUCCAUAUUUUCAGAGCGAAAACUACCGCUGCCAACUCCAAAUCAUGAGUCGGGUAAUUCUUUUCAUGCUCUUUCAGCUGUCGAGACGCAUAUGCUAUCACCUUUUCUCUUUGGGUCAAAACACAACCCAAUCCAACACCAGACGCAUCGCUAUAAACAGCGAAGUCUUCAACUCCAUCGGGUAGAGAAAGUAUCGGUGCCUCGCAUAGCUUCUUCUUUAACUUCUCGAAUGCUUCUUUAUGCUUCUCACUCCAAGCAUAAGUAGCUCCUUUGUGGGUCAAAGCUGUUAAUGGAGUAGCAAUCGAAGAAAAGCCUUGGAUAAACCUUCGGUAAUAUCCGGCUAAUCCUAAAAAGCUUCGAAUCUCCGUGGGACUUUUCGGUUGUUCCCACUUCGUCACAGCUUCGAUCUUCGCUGGAUCAACCAUUAUCCCUUCUUGGUUGACCACGUGACCCAAGAAUUGGACUUCACGAAUCCAAAAAUCACAUUUGGAGAACUUCGCAUAAAGCUUCUCCUUCUUCAAAACUUCUAACACUUCUCGCAAGUGUCUGCCAUGCUCCUCCUGGCUUUUCGAGUAGAUCAGAAUGUCGUCUAUGAACACUAUCACGGAUUUAUCAAGGAAAGGAUUACAAACCCUAUUCAUCAAAUCCAUGAACGCUGCUGGAGCAUUGGUUAGUCCAAACGACAUAACCAAGAACUCGUAGUGUCCAUAUCUAGUUCUGAAUGCAGUCUUCUCGAUAUCUUGCUCUCUUACUUUCAGCUGAUGAUAUCCUGACCUAAGAUCGAUCUUCGAGAAAUAGCUCGAACCUUGCAAUUGAUCAAACAGGUCAUCAAUCCUCGGCAACGGAUAUCUAUUCUUUAUUGUUGCCUUGUUCAGCUCUCUGUAAUCGAUGCACAUUCUCAUACUUCCAUCUUUCUUCUUUACAAAUAACACCGGAGCUCCCCAGGGCGAUGAACUAGGUCUAAUGAAACCUUUGUCCAAUAACUCCUGAAGUUGCAUCAUUAGCUCCUUCAUCUCCGUCGGUGCUAAUCGAUAAGGUGCUUUUGCUAUUGGCGUGGUUCCUGGUAACAAGUCUAUUCUGAACUCCACUUGUCUAUCAGGUGGUAAUCCAGGAAGAUCCUCGGGAAAUACUUCCGGAUAAUCACACACCACUGGAAUGCUCUGCAUCACCUUCUUUUCUUUCUUAGCAUCAAUCACGAAUGCUAAAUAUGAUGUACAUCCCUUGGUCAAACACUUUCUGGCUUUCAUUAGAGAAAUGAUUCCAGAAUUCACUCUGCGUUUGUCCCCAUACACCAUAAACGAAUCUUUUCCAGGCGGGUUUACUUUAACUAUCUUCUUCUUGCACAAAAUUUCGGCAUCAUUGGCGCUAAGCCAAUCCAUUCCCAAGACGAUGUCGAAACCAUUUAGUUCGAUAGGCAAUAAUUCCUCGAGAAACUUAUUCCCAUUAAGGUCGAUCAAGACGUUUUUCAUACGAUGGCUAACAGGUACAAACUUGCCACUAGCUACUUCGACUAAUAAAGCAUUAUUUAGUCUAUCAACAGGCAAAGCUAGCUUUCUACCAAACUCAUGCGAAAUAAAGGAGUAGUUGGCUCCAGAAUCAAACAAUAUAUGAGCAGGUAAUUCGUUUACGAGAAAGGUACCUGAAGCGACAUCAGCUUCAUCUUUCGCAGCCUCAAGUGUCAUCUGGAAGGCUCUCGCCUUCGGCUUUGGUGGAAUGUUGGGCCUAGCUGCCUCCUUCUUCUUCGGACAGUCUUUCAAAAUAUGCCCCUCUUCAUUACAACCAAAACACAUCCUUUUGUUGUUCGGACAUUCAUUGGCAAAAUGUCCAACCUUUCCACACUUGUAGCAGGUCACAUCCUCGCUACAUUUCCCAAAGUGCUUUUUCUUACACUUAUCACACCACUUUGCUUCGCCUCCUUUUCCUCCAAACUUUUUCGAAUCAGAUUUCGAAAAUUUGCUCUUCUUACUGGAACCAGAUGUUCCUUCAAACUUCCUUUUCUCACCAACCUCAACCUUGACGGUGGUUCUCCCCUUGAUCAUGUUCUCCACAGACUUGGCAGCCCAGAUAGCUGCCUCUAGAGUAAGUGCCUGACGUACCGGCACCUCGUACUCCCAUGGAAGUCCCUUCGCAUACCGAUCCACCUUUGUCAGCUCGUCUGGAACGAUACGCAAGGCAAACUCCAUCUUAUCGGUGAAGUUAUUGGUGUAUUCAUCAACUGACAUGCUACCCUUCGUCAAUGUCAAAAACUUAUUCUCCAACUCCAACAGAUUUUGAGCCGAGCAGAACUUGCGCUUGAACUGCACCAAGAACUCUGCCCAUGACAAUUGCAGUGGCUCAUUAGGGCUUAAGGUCUUCCCUAGAGUGUUCCACCAACGAACGGCUCCACCUCGGAAUUGUCGCACGGCAUAGAUAGUCUGCAACUUACCUCUGCAGCCACAUGUCAUAAAGGCUAACUCCAUUUCGGAGAUCCAAUCCAUAACCCCAAUCGGAUCCUCCUUUCCAUUGAAGGUCGAUGGUUUGCAAGUCAAAAAGUCCUUGUACUUGCAUCCCAUUCCAUCAUUCCUUCCUUCAUGGUUAUCUUGCCUAACUAUCGGUGGGUUGGCUGGACCAACAGACCCACUGAAGUUUCCACCUUCCGAGUGCCCUUCAUUUAAUUCAGGCUCUUCCACACGAAUCGACAGUUCUUCACGAUUUUGUUGAAGCAACCGUCUAGUUUCAUCCAUCUGACGAUCCAACAUCGUCUGAAUCAUCAAUUGCACACCAGCCAUGGUUAUUGGCUCAGGUGCUGCUGCUACGACAGGUAUUGGCUCAAUCACUGGUGGUUGAUUCCUGUUUUCGUCAGCAUUUCCAACUCCACUUCUUGUUCUCACCAUUUUGAUCUACACCCCGAAUAAGGUGAAAUUAGAUCCUCAAUCAUGAUAGAUAUUCAAAUCAUCCUUAUCACUCCGAAACGUUUACAUGCUAGUUCUAAUAUCGUAGACGUACGCUUAGAAUCCUACACACAUAAGGUUUCUAGAUCCGGUCGGCAACAGACCAUAGAUCCGAACAAAUAAUAUCAUAUAUGGCAACAUAUAACAUUUAGCACAUAAAGCAUUUUAGGCAACUUUCCUAAAAUAAACUAGUGCUCGUGUCUAAAACACAACAGACACACAUCUCAAAACUUCACUUAGCAUUCUAAGUUUAAGUCUAGAAAUCCUACAAAUUCCUAGUUCGCUUAAACUAAUGCUCUGAUACCAACUGUGACAUCCCCAAAAUCUCGGCCAGAAAAGACCGAUUUUCAUUUAUGCUUUUAAAUAUUUUCAGAGUAAAUCCUUUUGAUUUGAAAGAGUUGCGGAAUUUGUUCCCAAAAACAAAACAUGAUAAAACAUUGUUUACCGAAGCAUUUCAUAAAAGAAAUGUAUUUUCAUUAUAAUCAAAACUCGGGGUGUCAUGUUCCGAUACAGACCAAUAAGCAUAAACGAAUACAUUACAAGUCAUAUAACAAAUAUAAACAUAUGCAGACUUGUAAACAAAACAACUUGAUGGUUCAUCCAUCUCAUGCCCUUCCGCCACUACCUGUAAUACAAUUUAAAACUGAGUGGGUCAGGCUUGGGAGCCUGGUGAGCAUAUAGGGUUUUCAACCCACAAUAAAUAUCAUAUUUAAUUUUCACCAACCAACAAUAACCCAAUUACCCAUUCCCGUUAUUCUCACUUUAAUGUCCCUAAAACAACUAACAUAAGGGACCUAGUCUAAGAAUAUUUCAUCGGGGCGACAACACAUGCUUCGGGGGUACCUCAGCAAUAUAAGUCAAAUAAGGCAACCAUGAGGGGGAUGGAGUACAGCGAAUGAACACCCAAGUUCAUUAACACCUACAGGUGGCGAACCUGCUAAUGUUUCCACAAGACUGUCUAGAAUAGCCAGUGGUCGUCAUCUAAACUCCGCUAGAUGACUCAAUCAAACAACAACGAGGCCUCUCAUCUGUUUAUUACACACCAACUGUCUACCCAUGUUCUACCCAACAUAUUAGUAGAUAAAAAUAUACAUUUGUAUACAUAGUUUAAAGAAAACCUGUAUAGCAUGCUUUAAUCAACACAUAUAUCACAUAACAGAUGAGGCACACACACACAUAACACAUAUCUCAUAAAGAAAUAAGCAGAUCUAUAAGAUAGAAGAGAGUGAAUACUCAUUCACACAUAACACAACCAAAUAUAUACACAUAGCACGUAUUUUUAUAUAAAAUACUUCGUAUUAUUGUAUUAGAAGAAAUAACUACACACUCACUUGAUCAGAAGAUGAUCGGACAGCACUACGGCUUAUAGAAGUAGUAAUCCACAGCAGAUCUGGAAGAUCUUCUCGAAAAUCGAACUUCUCGCGGGCAGAGCUUCGACUCGGGAACCGCACUUUUCGGGAUCUUCGGGAUCUCGGGACUUGCCUCGGGGCUAGAGUAUGAUACCGGGACUUCGGGGUAGCUUCGGGGGUUUUUGCACAGAGCUUCGACACGAAAACGAGAGGGAAUUGGCAAAAAUACCCGGAACCCUCGCAUCCUAUUUAUAGGAGGCUGGAGCCUCGGAGUACGCGGGGCGUACUGCGUUACGCGGGGCGUACUGCCCAAAACGUCAUUGCUUACGUAUCCGAAGUGCUCGAGUGCGAGUGUCGACAUCCCUCGGAGUACGCGGGGCGUACUCGAGUACGCGGGGCGUACCUCGGAUCAGAUCGGUGACUCCUUCGGAUAAUGCUUCCGAAUUUUGAUUUAAAUAUAAAUACAAAAUGAUUAAUAAACUUCGGAAAUUCAUAACUUCUUCAUACGAACUCCGUUUUCGACGUUCUUUAUAUCCACGCGAAGGUGAGACCACGCUCUACGACUUUCGUUUAGACUCCGUCGGCUAAUUUUGACUUUAUUUUUAUUAAUUAUUUUUAAUAGGCCGGGACAGAAACUUUCGUUAUAAAUUCAUAACUUCUUCGUUUGACGUCCGUUCUCGCCUAACUUUUUAUCGUUUCAAUACCAACAAUGAGAUCUUCGAUUCUCAUUUAGAUUGCUUCGGCUAACAACCGCUCGAUCUCAAAUCGAGUAAAACAGGCUGUAUAUCGCUAAGCCGGAACUUCGAUAAAUCAUAACUUCCUCAUACGAAGUCAGAUUUGGGCGUUCUAUAUAUAUUCGGAAACCUCGUUUCAAAUACUACAACACUAACCAAAGAUAUUAAGUUUAUUUUACACUUAAAUUUUGACGCUUAUUUUAUUCUUAAUUAAUCAAACCACAUAAUUAAGCAAUUAAGCACAAAACACAUAAUACUCAAAUAAUACAAUCUUUAUUAUUUCAAAACGGGUUACAGAGGUUAA